GUGAGGAAUAUUGGUCAAUGGGCGCGAGCCUGAACCAGCCAAGUCGCGUGAGGGAUGACGGCCCUACGGGUUGUAAACCUCUUUUGUCGGGGAGCAAAUUCCGCCACGUGUGGCGGAGUCGAGAGUACCCGAAGAAAAAGCAUCGGCUAACUCCGUGCCAGCAGCCGCGGUAAUACGGAGGAUGCGAGCGUUAUCCGGAUUUAUUGGGUUUAAAGGGUGCGUAGGCGGACUGUCAAGUCAGCGGUAAAAUACGGGGGCUCAACCUCCGCCCGCCGUUGAAACUGACGGUCUUGAGUGGGCGAGAAGUAUGCGGAAUGCGUGGUGUAGCGGUGAAAUGCAUAGAUAUCACGCAGAACUCCGAUUGCGAAGGCAGCAUACCGGCGCCCAACUGACGCUGAAGCACGAAAGCGUGGGUAUCGAACAGGAUUAGAAACCCUUGUAGUCC
rnacentral:rRNA from 1 species